GUUUGCUUUGGCAGAACAUAUACUAAAGUUGGAACAAUGCAAAGAAAAUUAAUUAUUAGCACGGGCUCGGCAAAAGGAUGACAUGCACAUUUGUGAUAGGUUCACAUUUUUA